rnacentral:lncRNA from 1 species
ACAAAAUAAGUAAAUAACUACUAAUUAACCCUAUAUUUUUUACAACCUGCUGAUCCUAUAAAUUUCUGUAUACGCUUGUUAGACAGAAAGAUUCUCUAUGAUAACAGACACAAAUUAGAGUAUUUGACACCCCAUGUUUUUUUCAUGACAACAAAUUUCUUAAAAGACAUAAUUUUAUCUAUGGAUAAUUUGAGAAUCCAAUUAGCAGAUUCAUUGACAAAGGAAGACUACUAUUGAAUGGCAAAAG